rnacentral:rRNA from 1 species
GACGAACGCUGGCGGCGUGCCUAAUACAUGCAAGUAGGACGCAGUUGCGAACGGGUGAGUAACGCGUAGGUAACUACCUAUUAGAGGGGGCUAACUAUUGGAAACGAUAGCUAAUACCGCAUACUAGUAGAUGGACCUGAGUUGUAUUAGCGAGUAGGUAGGGUAAUGGCCUACCUAGGCAACGAUACAUAGACGAGCUGAGAGGGCGAGCGGCAACACGGGGACUGAGACACGGCCAAGACUCCUACGGGAGGCAGCAGUAGGGAAUCGUCGGAAAUGGGGGGAACCCUGACCGUGAACCGCCGCGUGAGUGAAGAAGGUUUUCGGAUCGUGAAGCUCUGUUGUUAAGGAAGCGGUACUUAAUCAGAAAGGGACGGCUAACUCCGUGCCAGCCGCCGCGGUAAUAC